CGGAACGGGUGAGUAAUGCGUCGAACCAACCUGCCCCAUGCUCCAGAAUAGCUCUUGGAAACGGGUGGUAAUGCUGGAUGCUCCAACUUGACGCAUGUCUUGUUGGGAAAGUGUUUAGUGGCAUGGGAUGGGGUCGCGUCCUAUCAGCUUGUAGGCGGGGUAAUGGCCCACCUAGGCUUCGACGGGUAGCCGGCCUGAGAGGGCGGACGGCCACAUUGGGACUGAGAUACGGCCCAGACUCCUACGGGAGGCAGCAGGU
rnacentral:rRNA from 1 species